UACGUAGGGUGCGAGCGUUGUCCGGAAUUAUUGGGCGUAAAGAGCUCGUAGGCGGUGUGUCACGCCGUUCGUGAAAACCCGCGGCUCAACUGUGGGCUUGCAGUCGAUACGGGCAGGCUGGAGUUCGGUAGGGGAGACUGGAAUUCCUGGUGUAGCGGUGAAAUGCGUAGAUAUCAGGAGGAACACCGGUGGCGAAGGCGGCUACCUGGACAGAAACUGACGCUGAGGCGCGAAAGCUAGGGGAGCAAACAGG
rnacentral:rRNA from 1 species